UACGUAGGGUGCGAGCGUUGUCCGGAAUUAUUGGGGCGUAAAGAGCUUGUAGGGCGGUUUGUCGCGUCUGCUGUGAAAUUCCAGGGCUUAACCCUGGGCUUGCAGUGGGUACGGGCAGACUAGAGGUAGGUAGGGGAGAAUGGAAUUCCUGGUGUAGCGGUGAAAUGCGCAGAUAUCAGGAGGAACACCGGUGGCGAAGGCGGUUCUCUGGGCCUUACCUGACACUGAGGAGCGAAAGCGUGGGGAGCGAACAGG
rnacentral:rRNA from 1 species